GGAAGCUUCACAUCAUCCUUCAGACAGAACACCAAAUAAGACCAUCCCAUGCCUUCUUUGUUUUGUUUGAUUGAUUUCAGAUCUGUCAAACUGAACAGGAAUGACCACGUGCUUUCUCCAUUUGUGUGAUUUGUAGCAUCUCCAUUUGAAUGGGGUUUCUUUUUAAAAGAGACGGUGGUGACCAUGUCCCAUUCUGCUUCAUAAUUGUUUGGACGGUCUGCUCCUCGAGAGGAUUUUUCUUUGGGCACUGGAGUCCACUCUACCACAGAACUGGAAUCCUUUCCUGCACAGAGGAUAUUAGAAGUAUCCAAAGUAUCAUCCUGUGGCCUCCAGUCUACUAUAACUUCAUUUUCCUUCUCUACGACACGCAGUACUCCAG
rnacentral:lncRNA from 1 species